rnacentral:rRNA from 3 species
UUAAGCGACUAAGCGUACACGGUGGAUGCCCUGGCAGUCAGAGGCGAUGAAGGACGUGCUAAUCUGCGAUAAGCGUCGGUAAGGUGAUAUGAACCGUUAUAACCGGCGAUUUCCGAAUGGGGAAACCCAGUGUGAUUCGUCACACUAUCAUUAACUGAAUCCAUAGGUUAAUGAGGCGAACCGGGGGAACUGAAACAUCUAAGUACCCCGAGGAAAAGAAAUCAACCGAGAUUCCCCCAGUAGCGGCGAGCGAACGGGGAGGAGCCCAGAGCCUGAAUCAGUGUGUGUGUUAGUGGAAGCGUCUGGAAAGGCGCGCGAUACAGGGUGACAGCCCCGUACACAAAAAUGCACAUACUGUGAGCUCGAUGAGUAGGGCGGGACACGUGGUAUCCUGUCUGAAUAUGGGGGGACCAUCCUCCAAGGCUAAAUACUCCUGACUGACCGAUAGUGAACCAGUACCGUGAGGGAAAGGCGAAAAGAACCCCGGCGAGGGGAGUGAAAAAGAACCUGAAACCGUGUACGUACAAGCAGUGGGAGCACAGAGCAAUCUGUGUGACUGCGUACCUUUUGUAUAAUGGGUCAGCGACUUAUAUUCUGUAGCAAGGUUAACCGAAUAGGGGAGCCGAAGGGAAACCGAGUCUUAACCGGGCGUUAAGUUGCAGGGUAUAGACCCGAAACCCGGUGAUCUAGCCAUGGGCAGGUUGAAGGUUGGGUAACACUAACUGGAGGACCGAACCGACUAAUGUUGAAAAAUUAGCGGAUGACUUGUGGCUGGGGGUGAAAGGCCAAUCAAACCGGGAGAUAGCUGGUUCUCCCCGAAAGCUAUUUAGGUAGCGCCUCGUGAAUUCAUCUCCGGGGGUAGAGCACUGUUUCGGCAAGGGGGUCAUCCCGACUUACCAACCCGAUGCAAACUGCGAAUACCGGAGAAUGUUAUCACGGGAGACACACGGCGGGUGCUAACGUCCGUCGUGAAGAGGGAAACAACCCAGACCGCCAGCUAAGGUCCCAAAGUCAUGGUUAAGUGGGAAACGAUGUGGGAAGGCCCAGACAGCCAGGAUGUUGGCUUAGAAGCAGCCAUCAUUUAAAGAAAGCGUAAUAGCUCACUGGUCGAGUCGGCCUGCGCGGAAGAUGUAACGGGGCUAAACCAUGCACCGAAGCUGCGGCAGCGACACUGUGUGUUGUUGGGUAGGGGAGCGUUCUGUAAGCCUGUGAAGGUGUGCUGUGAGGCAUGCUGGAGGUAUCAGAAGUGCGAAUGCUGACAUAAGUAACGAUAAAGCGGGUGAAAAGCCCGCUCGCCGGAAGACCAAGGGUUCCUGUCCAACGUUAAUCGGGGCAGGGUGAGUCGACCCCUAAGGCGAGGCCGAAAGGCGUAGUCGAUGGGAAACAGGUUAAUAUUCCUGUACUUGGUGUUACUGCGAAGGGGGGACGGAGAAGGCUAUGUUGGCCGGGCGACGGUUGUCCCGGUUUAAGCGUGUAGGCUGGUUUUCCAGGCAAAUCCGGAAAAUCAAGGCUGAGGCGUGAUGACGAGGCACUACGGUGCUGAAGCAACAAAUGCCCUGCUUCCAGGAAAAGCCUCUAAGCAUCAGGUAACAUCAAAUCGUACCCCAAACCGACACAGGUGGUCAGGUAGAGAAUACCAAGGCGCUUGAGAGAACUCGGGUGAAGGAACUAGGCAAAAUGGUGCCGUAACUUCGGGAGAAGGCACGCUGAUAUGUAGGUGAAGUCCCUCGCGGAUGGAGCUGAAAUCAGUCGAAGAUACCAGCUGGCUGCAACUGUUUAUUAAAAACACAGCACUGUGCAAACACGAAAGUGGACGUAUACGGUGUGACGCCUGCCCGGUGCCGGAAGGUUAAUUGAUGGGGUCAGCGCAAGCGAAGCUCUUGAUCGAAGCCCCGGUAAACGGCGGCCGUAACUAUAACGGUCCUAAGGUAGCGAAAUUCCUUGUCGGGUAAGUUCCGACCUGCACGAAUGGCGUAAUGAUGGCCAGGCUGUCUCCACCCGAGACUCAGUGAAAUUGAACUCGCUGUGAAGAUGCAGUGUACCCGCGGCAAGACGGAAAGACCCCGUGAACCUUUACUAUAGCUUGACACUGAACAUUGAGCCUUGAUGUGUAGGAUAGGUGGGAGGCUUUGAAGUGUGGACGCCAGUCUGCAUGGAGCCGACCUUGAAAUACCACCCUUUAAUGUUUGAUGUUCUAACGUGGACCCGUGAUCCGGGUUGCGGACAGUGUCUGGUGGGUAGUUUGACUGGGGCGGUCUCCUCCUAAAGAGUAACGGAGGAGCACGAAGGUUGGCUAAUCCUGGUCGGACAUCAGGAGGUUAGUGCAAUGGCAUAAGCCAGCUUGACUGCGAGCGUGACGGCGCGAGCAGGUGCGAAAGCAGGUCAUAGUGAUCCGGUGGUUCUGAAUGGAAGGGCCAUCGCUCAACGGAUAAAAGGUACUCCGGGGAUAACAGGCUGAUACCGCCCAAGAGUUCAUAUCGACGGCGGUGUUUGGCACCUCGAUGUCGGCUCAUCACAUCCUGGGGCUGAAGUAGGUCCCAAGGGUAUGGCUGUUCGCCAUUUAAAGUGGUACGCGAGCUGGGUUUAGAACGUCGUGAGACAGUUCGGUCCCUAUCUGCCGUGGGCGCUGGAGAACUGAGGGGGGCUGCUCCUAGUACGAGAGGACCGGAGUGGACGCAUCACUGGUGUUCGGGUUGUCAUGCCAAUGGCACUGCCCGGUAGCUAAAUGCGGAAGAGAUAAGUGCUGAAAGCAUCUAAGCACGAAACUUGCCCCGAGAUGAGUUCUCCCUGACCCUUUAAGGGUCCUGAAGGAACGUUGAAGACGACGACGUUGAUAGGCCGGGUGUGUAAGCGCAGCGAUGCGUUGAGCUAACCGGUACUAAUGAACCGUGAGGCUUAACCUU